CCCAUACACAUCCACUAGUGACCUUAUGUUUGGCGUUGUGCUUUAUUUAGCAGUCUCUCUUUAUCCAUAUUGGAGGGAAUUUAAAUGCUACAUACAAACUCUACCAGUGACCUUACUGCACCUAUAAAUGAUUACACAAACUGCUCUUGGUAACGCAAACACACACACACACUGGGAUGAGUCUGGCCAAAGAGGGGAUGCGGGGGAGGAAAACACAGACAGCAUCUGCUAUUACAUGUAAGAUGGUGGAUAAAUUGAGUCUGCUGAUGAGAAUGCUUACUUAAUUAAACAUGCUGUCAGCCUGGCCUACACAUGAUUGAACAUGGAGAAAGGAAACAUUACGACGGAUGAGACAGAGGAUGGUCUAGACAGACAAAGAAGGAUAGAGGGAUUGUGGGAGGAAACGGGAGGGAGAGAGAUGGUCACAUGGACUAGAACUGGAGUAUAGUAUUCUGUGAAGAGCCAGAGUGGCUUCGUAGUGCCAUUUUUGACUACUGCCAUGGACUCUGAACAGGGUAAUUCUUGACGAUGCCUUUAUGAAGGAUUGAGGACGAUCGGAUCGUACACCCAAGACCCAACGCCCUUUCAUGUUUAGUGCACAUCCUCCAUAUAAACUCCACCUCCUCAUGUUAAAUCAAUCGCCUUCCUUUCUCAGUGUGUCUCCUCCCUCUUGUGUUCUCCUCUCCUCCCCUUGUAAUGUGUCUGCCAAUCUCUGUCGUCUGCACUGACUCCUCCCACAGUGGCAUGAGCGUUUUUUCGAUGUGACGUCAGUUUGUUAUCCAGGCACAGAGAGAGUGAGAAGGCUGGGAAGAGAGAGGAAGAGAUACGAGAUAUUGACUGCCAGUGGAUCCUUGUACAAAGAAAAUGAGACACUUAGUCUAGGGGUUUAAGAUGCUGUAUGAGGUUCAGGACAGAGUGCGAGAAACAGGUCUGUCGGAACGAACAAGCACAUGGAACGUGGACAGGCAUCUUUCAGUUCACUUCAUUAAUCCCAUUCUGUUCUGUUCUGGCGGUAGCUGGCACCAUAAUGAGGUGGUGUGUGUGUGUGUGUGUGUGUGUGUGUGUGUGUAUUCCCAG
ensembl:lncRNA